rnacentral:lncRNA from 1 species
CCUUAUCUUGACAUGUCUUCAGCCCGUCCUUCCUCUUACAGCUGCAAAAUCCAAGAAUUCCAGGAAAAUCUCAACACAUGUUGGUCUGAAUUAACAGAAGACUCCACAGUCAUGGGAGGUCAGGAAGGCGUUGCCAGCCCCACCAGCCCAGCCUGAAGGAGCUGUUAGUUGAACAGACUGAGGUGCUCGGGGCUGAGCUCUCUUUCAUUCUCUUGAACUAGAAAAACUCUUUUCUCUCUGUGUGGCUUUUAAUUCUUUUGAACGAAAACCUCUCUCUUUUUUCUGUGUGGCUGUGAGGAAGACACAUUGUUCUCACAAGCAGUUCCAUGGUCACGGGUUUGGAUGUUCUCAGUGGCUGCAAAAGAAUUCAAAGGGAAAGGAAGCACAAGCGUCAACUCGAUUAGAAAAUACUUUCCCAUUUUUACAAUACGAUUGGAAGGACAAGGCAUCUCCAUGCUUCAUAGCUGAAGGUUUACAUUUCCACAGUGCAUACGGUAACGGACAAGCCAGAAUCCUCCUGGGUUUAAGCACCACAUACAAACCUUCCCUAUUCAAUUAGAGCAAGUCUAUGCUGCCAGCUACCAACGUCGACUGCCACAUGAGCAAGGGCUAAACCUGGCCAGAGGAGCUUCUGAUCAGGAAAUCAGACUUUUUGGGGUCUGGAAGAGUCAAUAUGUUGGAUCAGAUUCAUCUGCUGGCUGCCGUGACAGUCCUGGGAGUCCUGGAGCAAGGUAGGGACCAUUAGAUGCACAUGACCAAAUACCUGCUGGGUCAGUCUACUGUACCUCCACUGAUUUCCUUUCACUUCCAUAUUUCAUUUCUGCUGUUGAACUGGCACUUUUCCACUUUUCAGUCAGCAGAGUGAUAUCUUGUCUGGGUUUUGAAACGUACUCACAAAAUGACUGCUGGGGAAGCUCUUCCUCUGAACUGACCUACCUCCUCAGUUCAGAAAUUUCUUGGUAGAUCUUCUCCUGUGUAAAACAUGUUGAAUUUUUCUCCUUGAAAAGUGGGUUUACAGCAGUUCCUGACGUUUGUGUAGAUGUUAGUGUACAAAGAGCACUGCAGUGUGGAAAGGUGGAAGAACAGGCUGUGGUAGGUCACACAGAGCAUCUCCCGGCCAUGGUUCCACAUGGCAUGACAAUUUUAAUUCACUGUCUGGGUGGCUUAUCUGUGUUAUCAGUUCCCUCCCUACUCAGCCAUCAGGAUUUAGAAGGGGAAAAAAUUAAAGAUUAAAAAAUUAAAAUUUGCAGUAACAAAGUGCAUCUGAAUUGCAUAACAAUUUCCACAGAUAAUAGAUGAUCUGUUAAUUACACAAGAGAGAAAGGAA